CUCAAAGCUUGGAGCAAAACAGUUGGCGGCAGCGCAGCGCGAGGACAGUCCAGUCGCCAUCUCGCAGAGCAGACCGCCUGAGAGAGUUCCAAGCGCCUAAAGUUUCAAGAAGACCUUCGAAAUGGAUCAAGCCCGCAAGUUCGAGAACCAGGACACCCGCUAUCAGAGCCUGGGAACUGAUGCUUCCUUGGAAGGAGCUAAAGGAAUGCCCGGAGCCAAGAAUGAUGCGGGAAUCAAAGGCCACGGUGACCAGAACCAGCCAGCCCUGCAAGCUGCAGGCAGGAUCCAGCAUUUGCCGGGUGAUUCUGAUAUCAGCAUGAUCUGCAAUGCCUUCAGCGGGCUGCAGCUUCAAGAGCUGGAUCGAGUCUUCCAACGCACUCAGUUCCCCAACGUGUUUAUGAGAAAGGAACCUGGAGUACCAGCAACUGCUGAAUCCCAAGCUCAGUCCGUUGAGCGCAGUGGACCAGAAGAAAUGUCCAAGAAGCCAUUCUAAAACAUGCAAGAAGACAUUUCACUUUUCCCCUUGUUAUUUGGCUACUGGCCCAAUGUUUGUGAAAUUUAAUAAAAUUUUUGAGGAAUUGGAAAUCUAA